UACGAAGGGGGCUAGCGUUGUUCGGAAUUACUGGGCGUAAAGCGCACGUAGGCGGGUCGUUAAGUCAGGGGUGAAAUCCCGGAGCUCAACUCCGGAACUGCCUUUGAUACUGGCGAUCUCGAGACCGGGAGAGGUGAGUGGAAUUCCCAGUGUAGCGGUGAAAUGCGUAGAUAUUGGGAGGAACACCAGUGGCGAAGGCGGCUCACUGGACCGGAACUGACGCUGAGGCGCGAAAGCGUGGGGAGCAAACAGG
rnacentral:rRNA from 1 species